rnacentral:rRNA from 1 species
CCAGACUCCUGCGGGAGGCAGCAGUGGGGAAUAUUGCACAAUGGGGGAAACCCUGAUGCAGCGACGCCGCGUGAGUGAAGAAGUAUUUCGGUAUGUAAAGCUCUAUCAGCAGGAACGAGACAAGACGGUACCUGACUAAGAAGCCCCGGCUAACUACGUGCCAGCAGCCGCGGUAAUACGUAGGGGGUAAGCGUUAUCCGGAUUUACUGGGUGUAAAGGGAGCGUAGACGGUUAUGUAAGUCUGGAGUGAAAGCCCGGGGCCCAACCCCGGGGCUGCUUUGGAAACUGUGUAACUGGAGUACAGGAGGGGCAGGCGGAAUUCCUGGUGUAGCGGUGAAAUGCGUAGAUAUCAGGAGGAACACCGGCGGCGAAGGCGGCCUGCUGGACUGAAACUGACGUUGAGGCUCGAAAGCGUGGGGAGCAAACAGGAUUAGAUACCCCGGUAACG